AAACACCGUAGUUUUGCACCGUUUAUGUCUAACCUUUAUUUAUCCGUCUUAUUUAAAAGAUUUCUAUGAUUAGUAUCUUUUUAUUUAGAUGAUAAAACAUGAAUAAUGCUUUAUGUGUGACUUUUUUUUUAAAAAAAAUUAAAUAAGGCUGACGGUGAAUAUUGGACACGGAAAUCCAUAACUGCACUUAAA
rnacentral:pre_miRNA from 1 species